GUCCACGCCCUAAACGAUGGAAACUGAGUGUCGGGCCUUGUGCCCGGUGCUUCGAAGCUAACGCAUUAAGUUUCCCGCCUGAGGAGUACGGUCGCAAGAUUAAAACUCAAAUGAAUAGACGGGGACCCGCACAAGCAGAGGAUCAUGCGGUUUAAUUCGACAAUAAACGAGGAACCUCACCCAGGCUUGACAUCCCGAGAAUCCGCCGGAAACGGCAGAGUGCCCGCAAGGGAGCUCGGAGACAGGCGCUGCAUGGUUGUCGU
rnacentral:rRNA from 1 species